rnacentral:rRNA from 1 species
GACGAACGCUGGCGGCGUGCUUAACACAUGCCAGUCGAACGGAAAGGCCCUGCUUUUGUGGGGUGCUCGAGUGGCGAACGGGUGAGUAACACGUGAGUAACCUGCCCUUGACUUUGGGAUAACUUCAGGAAACUGGGGCUAAUACCGGAUAGGAGCUCCUGCUGCAUGGUGGGGGUUGGAAAGUUUCGGCGGUUGGGGAUGGACUCGCGGCUUAUCAGCUUGUUGGUGGGGUAGUGGCUUACCAAGGCUUUGACGGGUAGCCGGCCUGAGAGGGUGACCGGCCACAUUGGGACUGAGAUACGGCCCAGACUCCUACGGGAGGCAGCAGUGGGGAAUAUUGCACAAUGGGCGGAAGCCUGAUGCAGCAACGCCGCGUGCGGGAUGACGGCCUUCGGGUUGGAAACCGCUUUCGCCUGUGACGAAGCGUGAGUGACGGUAAUGGGGAAAGAAGCACCGGCUAACUACGU